UACGUAGGGUGCAAGCGUUAAUCGGAAUUACUGGGCGUAAAGCGUGCGCAGGCGGUGAUGUAAGACAGGUGUGAAAUCCCCGGGCUCAACCUGGGAAUUGCGAUGGAGACUGCAAGGCUAGAAUCUGGCAGAGGGGGGUAGAAUUCCACGUGUAGCAGUGAAAUGCGUAGAGAUGUGGAGGAACACCGAUGGCGAAGGCAGCCCCCUGGGUCAAGAUUGACGCUCAUGCACGAAAGCGUGGGGAGCAAACAGG
rnacentral:rRNA from 1 species